rnacentral:rRNA from 1 species
UACGGAGGGUUCAAGCGUUGUCCGGAAUCACUGGGCGUAAAGGGCGCGUAGGCGGCUCAUGAAGGCUGUGGUGAAAGUCCGGGGCUCAACCUCGGAUCGGCCGUGGCGACUCGUGGGCUGGAGCACUGUAGAGGCGGGUGGAAUUCCGGGUGUAGCGGUGGAAUGCGUAGAGAUCCGGAAGAACACCAGUGGCGAAGGCGGCCCGCUGGGCAGUGGCUGACGCUGAGGCGCGAAGGCGUGGGGAGCGAACGGG